rnacentral:lncRNA from 1 species
GCAGCCCAUCUCUUUUCCAACUCCAACAAUUCUCUUUUAGUUCCCAGCCAAACAUACAACACAUGAUAACAACUAGACGCACACCAAAUGUGACCCCACCGCACCCUUCGUUCUUCUCUCCAAAAGUUCAAUGAAACCCAGUUCAUGCACUGAAAAAGCCCAGAACUCCAGCAAAGCAGCGGAUCAGACAACACCAAAGUCGUGUGACGUUAGUCCUCUCUUACUCUCGCGCGUCGUCCUCUUCUCUCAUACAUGGAGCAAUUUAGAGAUUCAGUCCAUGUGGCUCCAUCUCCUUGCCAAAUUGUCCUUUGCUCAAAAUCGACGGCCUACAUUAUCAAUCCGUUGGGAACUGGUACAAUUCCUGCAACAACCUUAUCUCUUAAAGAGGGAUUUGAAUUUCGAAUGGGGAAAAUAUCUUUUAAAAUUCCCCCCAAGUCUGACCUAGAUUUUCUUCUAUAAAUUCCCCAUCUUCUUCUUUAUUUCGGGGGUGGGGGAAAAAUAGAGUUAAUGGGUUACGAAGAAUAAAAGGGGAAGAAAUCGGAAGAAAGUAACACUCCAAUAGCCACAUUUUAGAUUUUCUUUCUUACGAAAGCUUUCGACGGAUCUUAUAAAAUUUAUAGUAGUUUAAUCGUAUGUUGAUUCCAAAAAGAAUCAUGAGUUUCUUUUAAUCUUGGUUUCUCACUUAUUUACUAUUCUCCGAAGUUCUUGGAUUCUCAUUGUGAUCGUGGAAAGCUUUUUCCCUGAUCGUCUAGUCUCAGUCGCUGCCAAGGAAGAGGUAAUGUUUCCUCUAUAAUACUCUCUUCAUUUUUUAUUUUUUUCUUAUUUGAUAUGGUGUUUCGAUGUAGUGAAUUCACGACUUUGUUGUUAGAUUGUCGUUAAUCAGUUUUGAAUAUUGAUAACAUGUAUGCUUAAGUAAUCCCUUUGGCUAACUAUUGUCUAUCGUCUUGGCUUUUUAGCUUUAUCAUGACAAUUUCUAUAUUUCACUUCUCAAGCCUAUUUCGUCAUCUACUUCAUUUGCUUUCGAUUGUUGAGUCUGCUUUUAUCCAUUUGCUCUACUUCCAAGCAUUUGUUUUUCUUCUCUUUAUAUUUUGGUUCUUAUUUUAGUCAUGUUAGGUGUACAUUAUAUUAAUAGUCAAUAUUUCCUUUGUCCUACUUGAAGAUCUGUUUUGUUACCUUAGUAAAAUAUAUGGCAGAGCUCUUAGUUUCUUUCUUCAUUUUCUUUUCACUGUAAAUUUCAUGCUCCUCUUUCCAUUUGAGUUUAUGUCUCAUGCUUGAGUUUAUGUUUCGAUUAGAAGGAUAGUUUUAUUUGAUUAACCUUUCUUCCUUAGGCUCUUUCAAUAUAUAUGGAUAUGCAUGUUGUUUUUAUAUCUAGUUAUCAUACUCCAAAGUUUGAAAAUGUUUUCUGUAUGCUUGAAAUUGUUUGAAGAUUAUUCCUCUGUAACUUUAUUGUUAGUUGCUAUUAUUGUGUAAUCCCAUUUAAAUUUUCUGUACUCUCUUGUUUGUAGUCAGAAUUUUGUUUGCAUUUUAUUUAUUUGUUUUGAUUACUACAAUGUUUAUAUAAGUUUUUGAGUUCAAAUUGAUGGAUAAUGUGUACUCCAUGGUUAAGUUUAUUUGAACUUGACAUUUGUGCCGGUAUGAACUUCAAAUUCAUUAUUUUCUCAAACUUUAAUAUGAUUUAGGCCAUCACUAAUCCUUAUCUUUUCUUUUUCUUUUUCUUUUCACUGUGCCUUUAAAAUUAUCGAUUGAGUUCGCUUGAUUCAAUGAUCUAUCUCAUUGCAUUUCUUAAUAGGCCAUGAAAUCCCAAAUAUUUAUGUCUUGAGUCAGCUGGUAGCAAGUCGUUAAGCAAGUUUCUGGAGGUUAAACAAAGCUGGAAUUCGAAUUUUCAAGCUCUUAAAUGCCAGAAAAAGAUGUUGUAUACACUGAUAUACAUGAUUUAUACAGUAAUAUACAGUCGUAAAUACUGUAUACAGGUUCAAAAACGACGAAGAAGGUUGAAAAAUACAGAAAAUGUGAAGUUCAAACUUAAAUAUAGAUUUAGGAGUUCAAAACGAGUCAAACACUUGAUGUAUAUCAUAUAUAGACUUGGUGUAUAUCUUAUCAUUUGAAGAUUGAAAGAAGCCCAAAAAAAUUUAAAAGAAUGGCCCCGCAGCAGUUUUUUUUUUUUUUUGGAAAUUUAGCAAAACAGCAACAUUUUAGUCUUUAGGGGACUCCUUAACAACAUUUUAACUAUUU